rnacentral:pre_miRNA from 1 species
AUUAAUCAUCUAGAGAAUUUGUAAAAAUGGAGAUUCUGAUACAAUCAGUCUGGUGUGCUGAGUUCCUGCAUUUCCCACAAGCUCCCAGGUGAAACUACA